ensembl:lncRNA
AGAGAUUCUAAUCUAGUUGUUCUGGAAUGGAGCCUAAGCAUCAGGACUUUUGAAAGCUUCCCAGGUGAUUCUUAUGUCAGCCAAGGUUGAGAACCAGUGCUCUGAAGGAUUUUGAGGAGAGAAGUUAUGUUAUCAGGAAUCAGUUUGCAUUCUUUCUCUGGGAAACCACUCACAAUUAUUUCUGCCAUCUGUGCCCCCUCUUCCAUUUAUCCCGGACAUUCGGCUCUCUUCCUUACCACCGAAGGACUAUAUAAUAAUGGCUAAUGUUAAGUGAACACAAUCGAUGUCUUACUUAUUUUAACAUGGACUUUCAAAAGUUGAAGUUGACUUAUAUUUAUUCUUGGUUAAAUUCAAUUUAUCAAACUCUAUUGGACACAUACUAUGUGUCAGGUGUGGUUGGGCACAAAGAUGGAUAAGGACACCUCCUCUGCCUUGAUGGAGCUCCUGGGUGAGAGCAAGCACUAUUCACAGUAGCCAAGACAUGGAAACAGCCUACGUGUCCAUUGAUGGAUGACCAGUCUUUGAAGGAUUCCAAAAUGAAAUGGGACUUGAAGCCACGCCUGAAGGAAGCAAGGAACCGAACCCUCCUUGGCAAACGGGAUGAAAGGCAAAUUAGCCCUGAGCUAAGGUCUGCCGCCAAUCCUCCUCUUAUUGCUGAGGAAAACUGGCCCUGAGCUAACAUCCAUGACCAUCUUCCUCCACUUUAUACGUGGGAUGCCCACCACAGCAUGGCUUGCCAAGUGGUGCCAUGUCCACACCCAGGAUCCAAACAAGAGAACCCCAGGCCGCAGAAGCAGAAUGUGCACACUUAACUGCUGUGCCACCCGGCCAGCUUAAAGAAAGCUGGGCUGCCAAAAGAAAUCAAAAAAGCCCUUUAUCUUUUUAUUCGUCUCACUGCACACACCAGUUUUAUCUAGGGGGAAGAAAACUAUAUGUUAUUUGGAAGGCAAAGACCAAAGUGAUUUUCACAAGAAUUCAGCUGCCUGACGAAAACACCAGAAUAUUCCUACAGGCCGUGGAAAGUGAAAUCGGACCUUUCUGAUGGUCACUUUGAUAUGUGGCUGCACACUUUUUUCUGGGUAGUGGGGCUGCUUGAUGUUAGAUGCUGAGAGGUAAGAGAAUACAGGAUAGAGGAAGCAAAGAGGCACUUGGCAUCUGAGAAUGCCUUAUGCAAAACGUCAGGAGAACCUGCCCCUGCAGAGUCUGCCAUGGAAGGAAGGCCGUGGAGGCAGAAUGCAGAGAGAAGGGCGCUGGAGGCUGAGCCUCUGCCAGUCACUCCCUCCACAGCUUGAACGUGACAGGGAACUGUGUGGGUGUGGCAAACAGACCAAGUGAAGCCUCAAAGCCACCAAGAGGAAGCAAAGUGAGAGCAAGGUGUCUUUUUCCUAUUUCCUUGUAAUCACCUGCCUUGUUGAAGGCAAGCUGGGCUGGGGACCCAGUUCUAGCGAUUUGAGACUUAGUAGGGAAGCUUCAUUGGCAUUGCUGAGGAAUGGUGCCUCUUGCAAAGAGGCUGAAACAGUCAGCAAACGCCAGGAGCUUAAGAACCAGAGGCUGAGGCACGUGAGAUGAAAUCAAGGCACCUUUCACCUUAAACAACACCUAGGCUGAGGAGACAGAACCGUGGUGCCUCUCUGGACCAAGGAGACUGCAGCUGGAGACAUCAGAAUUAGUCAGGUAAAGAAGAACAGGUGAUGGACAGGCAGGGUCUUUCUAGCCAAAAGACUCCCUGUGUUAGUCACCGAUAGUCUCACUUGCCUGACCAGAGAGCCUGGAACACAGCACUGCCCCAUAAUCCCCCUCAGGACCUUGUCUUUGUAAUGAGUCAUCGGGAAUAUCACACUCAGUGAACUAUUUAGAGUGCAAGGAACUACUUCUGUACAGGUGAGAAAUCCCAAGGUAUCAGACUGCAAACAGGUCAGCACAUUACAGGUCCUUAUUUGGCACUGUUAGACGUAAGUGCGGUUUAUUUUUACCCCUCCGUGCUUCUCUGCCCUUGAGCAAUCAUUUUUAGCUCGAGGGUGUGGGGAAAGCAGACUUUCUGCCUAGCACGUUCUCCAGGGGGCAGGCUGAAAUCGUUCGCCCCGUCUUUCUCCAACCCCCGAAGCUGGAUGGCUCACCUGGUCCUCAUGCUGUCAAAUCUCUAGAUACAGUUUCUUUUCUAGGAACUGAACCCAAUUCAACUUUGUAACCUACUCACUUCCAACUCCUGCUUUAAUUAACUCAAUACCCUUCCUUCUGCAGUCCUAGUCUCCUUUCAACAUCUCCUCUUUUUUUCUAAUUUGUUUCACCUUUGGCCUCAUGUUUCAGUUCCUUCCCAAAGCCUUUCUUUAAACCCAAUAAAAAAGAGUACACCUAUACAUACGUGGCACUGGAGGGGUAGGAUGUUCCUCACAAACAUGGCAAGGGGUAAAUGGAAAAACACAUUCUUGAGAUUCAAGUGUAAAGAAUUUGUGAGAGAGAUGUUGACACAGAAUACAAGAACUGUAAAACUGGAAGAGACUUAAAUUUCUUUUAAUGAUGGUCAAAUAUUUGAUUCGUCUCUUUGAAUGUCCCCUCCCAAAGGUCAUUUAGGCCACGCUUAAACACCCUAAGUGACCUGGAACUCAUUACCUUUAAUUAAGCUUCUGUGAUGUCUGGGCACUCUGACAGAGUGGUCUUUUCUAGAGAGAGCUGAAAUCUGAAAGGCCAACUGGUGAGUAAAGGCACUGAGGGACUCUUAGGUAAUCUAGCACAAGCUCCUAAUAUAGGACAGGGGCAGGCUACCUGUUACCAGGUCAUUAAAAUUGCUUCUGCUAUGGAUGUUUGUGCACCACACCCCCCCCCCCCAUAUUUAUAUGUUGAAUCUUUAAUCCUUGAUGUGGUGGUAUUGGGAAAUGGAUAUUGAAGAUGGAUUUCUCUCAUGCCACAAGAAGUCCGGAGUUAAUGCAGGUGUUUGUUGCUGGCAUUGGUACUGAGGCUCAAGAUUGUCAGGGCAGGGUCUCUGCCACAUUCUUGGCCUUUCCAUGAUGAUUCCAUGAUGAUCCCAAGAUGGAUGCUGAAGCUCCAACUGCUUCGUCUAUAUUUCAGGCAGAAUAAAAGCAUAAGGGCAGUGGUGCUUAUACCAGGGAAGCAAAGCUUACUCAAAUAUCCUUGGCUGACAUCCUGUUGGAUAGAAUUAUGUCCACAGCCAUGCUUAAUUGCAAGAGAAGCUAGGAAAUGUCACUUUUUAGUUGGGGACAUUGCUACCCCAACAAAACAGGGUUCUGUUCAUAAGAAAGAAGGGAAAUGGCUACUGGUUAGGCAACUAUCAGUGUUUGCCAAAGAGUAUCAAUAGAUCCCUGGUUAAAACCCGAUGUAUGUCAAUUAUAAAUGGCAGGACUCUUAUAGGCAACAGAAUCAGCUCUGGCUAGUUUGAGUAGAGAAAGUUUUAUUAAAGGAUGUAGGUAGCUCACAAACUUCUCUGGGAGGGACAGAAGAACAAGCUUGUAUAUAAUCAGCCACAGACAAAGUAUGAAACAUGCCCAAUUGCCUCACGGGAUUUUCAUUGCUAAAACGCUGCUGCUGCCCCACUGACCAUUACUUGCCACCAACAAGCCAGGACCAGACACCAGAAACUCCAUCAUGGCUGCCACAAAAGAACCAGGUACCUUCAACCUGCCUGCUUAAAGAGCCACUCUCUCCUCAUGUUGCUCACUUCUAUAUCCAAGUCUCUCAUACGUGGGGCUGCACGGAGAUCUGCGUGGGUGCAUGGCUGCAUCCUAGCUGCUGAGCAUUUGGGAAAUGUAGGCCUAGGCUUGCCAGCCCCUCUAGUAGAGGAAGACAAGCUAGUAGGGGGUUAAGAUGGGUGUUGAGUGAACCAACCUCUGGUAUCAUCAUCAUGUUUUUGAAAUAGGGGAGACCAGGAGUUCUACUUGGCUAUGUCUUAUCAGGACUGACCAAUAGUUUCCUAAAGCUUUGAAGAGAGAUUCUGAUGGGAAAAAAAAAAAAAAAAGGCAUCAUCUGGUUCUGGAAAACAAUGGCUAACUGUGAAAGAAAGAGAAUGACAC